GAAUGUUGGACCGACGACACAAGACCUCAGACUUGUGUUAUUCUAGCAGCUGAACACACCUCAGGCUCUUCUGACCGGCAGUGGCUCUGGAAGCAGUCUGGUCUAUAGAGUUAUGGAUUCACUACCAGAUUCUACUGUAUGCUCUGACAACUAUGACCACAAUGGUCCACCCACAAAUGAAUUAUCAGGAGUGAACCCAGAGGCACGUAUGAAUGAAAGGUGAGUUAUGCAUAUGUGUGUCUUUAUUUAUCGAAUUAUAACUGAGCAUAGAAGUAUUCACACACACAGGCACAUAAACAAAUAUAUCCAUCCAUC